rnacentral:rRNA from 1 species
GCUUGCUUGGCGGUCGCCCUUUUAGGCACGACUCUUGUCUUAACCGUCAAUAUUUUUUAAAAAAACUUUCAACAACGGAUCUCUUGGUUCUCGCAUCGAUGAAGAACGCAGCGAAUUGCGAUACGUAAUAUGACUUGCAGACGUGAAUCAUUGAAUCUUUGAACGCACAUUGCGCCCCGGGGUAUUCCCCAGGGCAUGCGUGGGUGAGCGAUAUUUACUCUCAAACCUCCGGUUUGGUCCUGCUUCGGCAUAAUAUCAACGGCGCUAGAAUAAGUUUUAGCCCCAUUCUUCUUCCUCACCCUCGUAAGACUACCCGCUGAACUUAAGCAUAUCAAUAAGCGGAGGAAGGUUUAUUAGACUUUUCUCACCCUUUUAGCCAAACUCUAAUCUUAACGUCAAAACAAUUUUAAAAAAUUACAAAACGAUCUCUUGGUCUGCAUAGUAAAAAAGGACGAAAGGAUAGUAAUAUGAUUGCAAACUGAAUCAUGAAACUUUGAACGCCCUUGGGGCCCCGGGGUAUUCCCAGGGCAUGGUGGGUGAGCGAAAAUUUCUCUCAACCUCCGGGUUGGGCCUGCUUCCGCUAAUAUCAACGGCGCUAGAAAAAAGUUUUACCCCUUCUUUCUUUCUCCCCUCGGAAGAAAUACCGCCUGAACUUAAACAUAUCAUUAAGCGGAAGAAAAA